rnacentral:rRNA from 1 species
AUCAAAUGAGAGUUUGAUCCUGGCUCAGAACGAACGCUGGCGGCGUGCCUAACACAUGCAAGUCGAACGGAGUUAACAAGC